rnacentral:rRNA from 1 species
UACGGAGGGGACUAGCGUUGUUCGGAAUUACUGGGCGUAAAGCGCACGUAGGCGGAUUUGUAAGUCAGGGGUGAAAUCCCGGAGCUCAACUCCGGAACUGCCCUUGAAACUGCAGUGCUAGAAUCUUGGAGAGGCGAGUGGAAUUCCGAGUGUAGAGGUGAAAUUCGUAGAUAUUCGGAAGAACACCAGUGGCGAAGGCGACUCGCUGGACAAGUAUUGACGCUGAGGUGCGAAAGCGUGGGGAGCAACAGG